AGAGAAGCUCCAUCAGGUCACCUUCAAGACCAACCAUGUUCUCUGUAGCUCUGCUGCUGCUGCUGGCUGCUGGAUCCUGUGUGAAGUGUGAGCAGUUGAUACAGCCAGCCUCUGAGAUUGUGCAGCCAGGUCAACGUCUGACCAUCACCUGUCAGGUCACUUAUUCUCUUAGCAGCUACUUCACAGCCUGGAUCAGACAGCCUGCAGGGAAAGGACUGGAGUGGAUAGGAAUGAGACGAGGUUCAACAGCAUACUACAAAGAUUCACUGAAGAGCAAGUUCAGUAUCGACUUAGACUCUUCCAGCAACACAGUGACUCUGAACGGACAGAGCGUGCAGCCUGGAGACUCUGCUGUGUAUUACUGUGCCAGACACACACUGUGACACACACCAUCAGUAGAGCUGUACAAAAACCCCUCAGAGCCUGAACACUUGUAACAUGAAGCCACCAGAGGAGGAGCCCUCAGACCAGAAAUGAUCUCAACACCAGCUCACUGUUACAUCAUCAGUUUAAACAU